rnacentral:rRNA from 1 species
UACGUAGGGACCAAGCGUUGUUCGGAUUUACUGGGCGUAAAGGGCGCGUAGGCGGCAAAUUAAGUCAUCUGUGAAAUCUCCGAGCUUAACUCGGAAAGGUCAACUGAUACUGUGCGGCUAGAGUGCGGAAGGGGCAACUGGAAUUCUUGGUGUAGCGGUGAAAUGCGUAGAUAUCAAGAGGAACACCUGCGGCGAAGGCGGGUUGCUGGGCCGACACUGACGCUGAUGCGCGAAAGCUAGGGGAGCGAACGGG